GCUAAGCAACAGAGACGAGGCUACACAUUCCUGAUAAUUCGAACGAUGGAUUUACACAUACACCAGAUACUUGCAUACAGUUUCAGACUGCACUAGCAAAAAUGGUAAAAGAAAGCAGCGAACUCAAUAUAGGAAUGCUUUUAUCUUUGUUUACUUACAAAACUUUAUUUGGAUCGAUUUAUUCUAUAAUUUCAUUUACACACGCCUUCGUCAUAUAACGCUGAAGCCCUCAGCGUGAAGGUGGCAGUAGCAGCGCAGCCAUUACAGUUAAUGAAAUUUGUAUGCGAAAAUGACGACCACAGUGAUCAGAGGGUGGAAAGGAGCUAAUAGUCGGUCGCUUUAAACUGACAUCAAACCCACAACGUUCGCUUAUUAAAAUAGCAGCUACACUGAUACACCUCGCUGAUGUAGUGGAAUAGUAACUCAAGUGGAAAGUGCAUCGCCAAGCUGUGUGUGGCGCAUCUGUCCACUCAUUCCGACUAUGCUACUUGUCCGUUGUUUAUGUAACGACGCUUUAUCAAUUGUGUAGGCUACAUAACUGCGAGUAGGGAUGUUCUUACGAAUGAUUCAUUUUGAAGCUUUGUUGGCAUAUUUUACGGUUCUGUCUCCACAUUACCUCUGGCGGAUCGAGAAAAUCUACAACAAAGUUACGUCAUAGCUUAGAAUGAAACACAGGUACUCAGUGAAUAAGAAGAAAU